rnacentral:RNase_P_RNA from 1 species
GGAGUCGGACGGGUCAUCGUCGCGAUCCUUCGGGAUCGGGGAGGAAAGUCCGGGCUUCGCAGGGCAGGACGCUGGAUAACGUCCAGGUGGAGUGAUCCACGGACAGUGCCACAGAAAACAGACCGCCGGUGAAAGCCGGUAAGGGUGAAACGGUGGGGUAAGAGCCCACCAGUCGCCACGGUGACGUGUCGAGCUAGGUAAACCCCGUCCGAAGCAAGACCAAAUAGGAAAGCGUUUGAGGCCGGCCCGGCUGAUGCUUUCGGGUAGGUUGCUUGAGGCCGUAGGCAACUGCGGUCCUAGAGGAAUGAUGACCACUCCCUUCGGGGAGUACAGAACCCGGCUUACAGUCCGGCUCCCGAC